AGUGAACGCUGGCGGUAGGCCUAACACAUGCAAGUCGAACGGCAGCACAGUAAGAGCUUGCUCUUACGGGUGGCGAGUGGCGGACGAGUGAGGAAUACAUCGGAAUCUACUUUUUCGUGGGGGAUAACGUAGGGAAACUUACGCUAAUACCGCAUACGACCUACGGGUGAAAGCAGGGGAUCUUCGGACCUUGCGCGAUUGAAUGAGCCGAUGUCGGAUUAGCUAGUUGGCGGGGUAAAGGCCCACCAAGGCGACGAUCCGUAGCUGGUCUGAGAGGAUGAUCAGCUACACUGGAACUGAGACACGGUCCAGACUCCUACGGGAGGCAGCAGUGGGGAAUAUUGGACAAUGGGCGCAAGCCUGAUCCAGCCAUACCGCGUGGGUGAAGAAGGCCUUCGGGUUGUAAAGCCCUUUUGUUGGGAAAGAAAAGCAGCAGGUUAAUACCCCGCUGUUCUGACGGUACCCAAAGAAUAAGCACCGGCUAACUUCGUG
rnacentral:rRNA from 1 species